GUGGCAGACGAGACAAGGCCUAGGGGCUUUCAAGUCACUAGUGGUUCCGUUUAGUAGAUGGUUUACAUUUCUUCAAAAUGGUGCCCUAGUGACUACAAAGCCCCAGAGCCAGCAUCAUCACGGAAGCA
rnacentral:pre_miRNA from 14 species